UACGUAGGGUGCAAGCGUUGUCCGGAAUUAUUGGGCGUAAAGAGCUCGUAGGCGGUUCGUCGCGUCGGCUGUGAAAUCCUGAGGCUCAACCUCAGGCUUGCAGUCGAUACGGGCGGGCUGGAGUUCGGCAGGGGAGACUGGAAUUCCUGGUGUAGCGGUGAAAUGCGCAGAUAUCAGGAGGAACACCGGUGGCGAAGGCGGGUCUCUGGGCCGAUACUGACGCUGAGGAGCGAAAGCGUGGGGAGCGAACAGG
rnacentral:rRNA from 1 species